rnacentral:rRNA from 1 species
UACGUAGGGGGCGAGCGUUAUCCGGAAUUACUGGGCGUAAAGCGCACGCAGGCGGUUCGCCAAGUUUGGAGUGACAGUUGUCGGCUCAACCGACAAAGGACUUCAAAAACUGGUGAACUUGAGGACGAGAGAGGAACAUGGAACUCCAGGUGUAGUAGUGAAAUGCGUAGAGAUCCGGAAGAACACCAGUGGCGAAGGCGGCC